CCAAAAAUCAAGUCCCAAUGUUCAGAGCCAAUGCGGCUGAGGCAUCCGCAGUUGCCGUGAUUCAUUCUGAUCAAAGUCUUUGUUUCUUUCUCCUAAUUUCUUUUUCUCUUAGCCUGAAACAGUAGUAGAGAACAUAUCUUCUCCACAAGUGUGUGCUAAAUGAACAAGCACCUGAGGUAAAGGGGACGGUGGAGAGCGAAGAGGGACAGCGGUGCCGCGGAGUGACUGGAGGAACGAGGGUACCACAAACAGAAACCGCUGGAGAGGGUAACAGAUCCUAGAAGAGUAUCUUCUCAGAAUCAAGCGGAAGCUGUUAACUUGAGGAAAUGCUGAUGAAUAUCCCCAGCAGAAGAGCCAUCAUGUCGGCACCACCAUCACCAGCAGUCCUUUCUACAGAAUGCAAACUUCACUACUGGACAAGCAAGACUUCCCUGAUGAAAGGAGGACAGCAGCGCUGACAAGACAAGGAGCAGUCCGUUGAAUCCAGCGGUAUUUUCUGCCAAAGUUGCAUGCACUGUCAGAGCAACAGCCUCAGUCAUAAGAUGCAGCACAGAAUCCGUAACGAGCUUCAUCUACUGUUCAACCAAAUUUUUAAUUUGCUUGUGCCUGAGGGGUAAUGUGUCUGAUUCUCUUCUAGGUUUGCUCUCUGUUAUUCUGUCCCUCUGCCUCCCAAUUCUGCCCUUAGCUUUAAAUUUUAAAUUACUUUCCUACAAUGUGUCCAUUAUUUUGUCCUAAAUUUCUAUCUUCUGUGUGCUUCACGUUGUAGUUCUUGUUGCUGUCCACUUUUAAUACCAGUAACUGCUCUGAAUUUUAAAAUAAAACUGUCACUAAUCCUUGUCCAGAGUCAGGGUGUCUGAGCUCGGUUGAUGGAUCUCUCCCCAACCAGUGUGGAUGGAUACUUCCUUACUACUCCAAAUAAGAGGCCAGGUCUCCACUCCACUUUCCUUGGAUUUCUUGAUGCCCUAAAAUCUGCUGAGGUAACCAGAGAGGGACUGGAAGAAGUCUAACGGCGUGUGUGGUGGAAUAUUUAUGAAAAUAGCCCAGAUUCUUCCUCCGCCUUAGUCCAGCUCUUGAUUUUGCAGCUCUCGCCACCAGGUGGCAUCUAUUUCCCCACCCAGUGAAUCUGGGCCGGCCUUCUGAGUUUCUUGGGGCAAUAGAAUGUGGCAGAACUGACAGGGUGACAGCUAGGAGUUUGGCCUCAAGAGGCCUUGUGCACUUCCAAUCUCUUUGAUUCCUGCCACCACCAGGAGGACAAACAUGGGUGAUUCCC
rnacentral:lncRNA from 1 species